AUAAAGCCUACCAAGGUUACGAUCCGUAGCUGGUCUGAGAGGAUGAUCAGCCACACUGGGACUGAGAUACGGCCCAGACUCCUACGGGAGGCAGCAGUGGGGAAUAUUGGACAAUGGGGGAAACCCUGAUCCAGUCAUGCCGCGUGUGUGACGAAGGCCUUUGGGUUGUAAAGCACUUUCAGCGAGGAAGAAAACUUAUAAAAGAAAAAGUUAUAAUAAUGACGGUACUCGCAGAAGAAGCACCGGCUAACUCCGUGCCAGCAGCCGCGGUAAAACGGAGGGUGCAAGCGUUAAUCAGAAUUACUGGGCGUAAAGGGCAUGUAGGUGGUUUGUUAAGCUUUAUUUGAAAUCCCUAUGCUUAACAUAGGAACUGGAUAAAGAACUGACAAACUAGAGUGCAGAAGAGGAAGGUAGAAUUCCAGGUGUAGCGGUGAAAUGCGUAGAUAUCUGGAGGAAUACCAGUGGCGAAGGCGACCUUCUGGGCUGACACUGACACUGAGAUGCGAAAGCGUGGGGAGCAAACAGGAUUAGAUACCCUGGUAGUCCAUGCUGUAAACGAUAUCAACUAGCCGUUUGAUUCUUAAAGAAUUUUGUGGCGUAGCUAACGCGAUAAGUUGAUCGCCUGGGGAGUACGGUCGCAAGGCUAAAACUCAAAUGAAUUGACGGGGGCCCGCACAAGCGGUGGAGCAUGUGGUUUAAUUCGAUGCAACGCGCAGAACCUUACCUACUCUUGACAUCCAAAGUACUUUCCAGAGAUGGAAGGGUGCCUUAGGGAACUUUGAGACAGGUGCUGCAUGGCUGUCGUCAGCUCGUGUUGUGAAAUGUUGGGUUAAGUCCCGUAACGAGCGCAACCCUUGUCCUUAGUUGCCAACGCGUAAGGCGGGAACUUUAAGGAGACUGCUGGUGAUAAACCGGAGGAAGGUGGGGACGACGUCAAGUCAUCAUGGCCCUUAAGAGUAGGCCACACACGUGCUACAAUGGCAAUACAAGGUCAA
rnacentral:rRNA from 1 species